AAGCAAUAUGUGGCUAAUGAUCAAGACUCUGUGACACAAUCUGCUCUUGCUAUAGUAAGAAAGUCUAACCUUUCCUGUUCUCAUGCUUGUCUCUAUGAGACAAACCAUUACACAGAUUUAAACAGC
rnacentral:snoRNA from 1 species